GAACGACAGGGGGCAGCAUACAGUGCAGGUCGAGCGAGCUGAAUUCAAAGAUUCCUUCGGGAUGAUUUGUUGGACGCCAUUUACGGAUGGGUGAGUAACACGUGGGCAAUCUGCCCUAAAGCACUGGGAUACCACUUGGAAACAGGUGCUAAUACCGGAUAACAACAUGAAUCGCAUGAUUCAAGUUUGAAAGGCGGCGUAAGCUGUCACUUUAGGAUGAGCCCGCGGCGCAUUAGCUAGUUGGUGGGGUAAAGGCCUACCAAGGCAAUGAUGCGUAGCCGAGUUGAGAGACUGAUCGGCCACAUUGGGACUGAGACACGGCCCAAACUCCUACGGGAGGCAGCAGUAGGGAAUCUUCCACAAUGGACGCAAGUCUGAUGGAGCAACGCCGCGUGAGUGAAGAAGGUUUUCGGAUCGUAAAGCUCUGUUGUUGGUGAAGAAGGAUAGAGGCAGUAACUGGUCUUUAUUUGACGGUAAUCAACCAGAAAGUCACGGCUAACUACGUGCCAGCAGCCGCGGUAAUACGUAGGUGGCAAGCGUUGUCCGGAUUUAUUGGGCGUAAAGCGAGCGCAGGCGGAAUGAUAAGUCUGAUGUGAAAGCCCACGGCUCAACCGUGGAACUGCAUCGGAAACUGUCAUUCUUGAGUGCAGAAGAGGAGAGUGGAAUUCCAUGUGUAGCGGUGGAAUGCGUAGAUAUAUGGAAGAACACCAGUGGCGAAGGCGGCUCUCUGGUCUGCAACUGACGCUGAGGCUCGAAAGCAUGGGUAGCGAACAGGAUUAGAUACCCUGGUAGUCCAUGCCGUAAACGAUGAGCGCUAGGUGUUGGGGAAUUUUCCGGUCCUCAGUGGCCGCAGCACACGAAUUAAAGCGCUCCGCCUGGGGGAGUACCACCCCCAAGGGUGAAUACUCAAAUGAAAUUUGACAGGGGGCCCCUCCCCACACGAGUUGGACGCAUGAGAGU
rnacentral:rRNA from 1 species